CUUUCUUCACUUUCACUUAUUAUUCUCUCCAUUCUUGUUCUUGCUUUGAGAUUCAUUCACUAAUUAACAAACAAGAACAUGGAGUGGUUGGUGUCAAUGCCAAAGGUGGAGUUGCAUGCUCAUCUCAAUGGAUCUAUUAGAGACUCCACACUCCUGUAUGUAUAUGAAGAAAAUUUCAUGCCUUAAGCUGUUUAUCAUCAUCCUUUUAUUUUAUUUUUUUAUUAUUAUCUAUAUUCAUUUAUUUUGCAGAGAACUGACAAAGGCCUUAGGUGAAAAAGGUGUUAUAAAUUUCUCUCAAGUGGAGCAUAUUAUCAUGAAGUUUGAUGAACGUUGUGAUAUGGAACUUGAUGAGACGGAUCCAACUGUCUGGCAUUUGAAAAUCUCUCUGAGAGAUUGAUUCUGCCUUUCCAGCAUGAAGAGAAGCUUUUCGAGAAUAUAAGAUCUAAAGUAUCCAAGACUGGGGAAUCAAAUGAAGGUAUUGUGGUUGACUUGCUUUCUAUCAUGCGAGGUUUCACUAUUUGUACUGAUCUCUCGUUUCAGAAAUUAAGAUUCUUUUCACUUUUCUCGGCUGUUUGGUUAUCUUUGUUGAAGGUUUUGGAAGAUGAACAAGAAAUAAGUUCCUACAUAUUGUACAGAUCUGUCUUUCCAUCAUCUUGGUGUUUUAGAGAUUUAUAAUAGAAUCUAUGUUUUACUGCUUAAGAAGUUUGGUUAUAGUAUGAUUUUAUGAUAAUAUAUUACUAUCAAUGUGAGAUAUGGUCCGGUUUAUUUUACUCAAACCUUUCUUUAUGAUAAUAUAUGAUUCAUUGUUCAGGGAGGGUGCUAGUAUCCAUCUUGCUUUGGAACAUGCUCUCGCCUCGCAUAGGAGAUUACGGAUUUUUGUCAUAAGCAAAAACGGAAGCGGAAAAAAGAACACGCAGCACCAAUUGAUCUACCAACUGAAGGUAGCAACUCAGAAGUCGUCAUACCCCCUUACUCAUCUUAGCAUGCACCGAGGACGAUACAAACUUUUAAGUGUGGGGAGGUCGUCCGAACAGUCGGUGUUUUUGGGUGACAAAUUUCUAAUUCCAACACUUUUGCAUUUCAUUUUGUUUAGAUCUUUUAGGAUUCUUUGCUGCAUUUUCUUAUUUUGCAUAUAUAUAUAAUAAGUUUAGUUAAAAUAAUAAAAUUUUUCAAGAAAAACAUUCUUUAUAGGGAUUGACAUUCCAAUUGAUUUGAGUAAAAACUUUUCAUAGAACUUGCUUCAACUAUAUAUUGUGGAUCAUGUUUUUGAGCUAAAAACACAAGCUUGUGAGAUUUGAGCCUAAUUGCGUGGUUACAUCUUAUAACCACUUAUUUUCCUUCUUGUGUGCAUUAUUUUCUUCCUAUGAUUGUAAUAUUUGAUUUGUUUGAUUCUUUAUGUCCAUUAUUUUGUGUAUACAUACAUUUAUAUGAUUGAGGCCAUCAUUUUAUUAGCUCACUUAUCCAAAUAAGCCUACCUUUUAUCAACCUUUGUUAGCCAACUUUGACCUACGAUUAACCCACUUUGUUCUCUAAGUUAGCACAUUACAAGCCUUAAAGCAAAAAACAAUAAAUGUCCUUAAUUUGGAUCUUUGAUUAGCUUAGACUAGUGAGUGUAUAUAUCAUCCAAGUGUGGGAAAACAUGGGACAUUGGUUGAGGUAAAAGGGUGUUUUUGUAUUUUGAUGAAAAUAUUGGGAAUUGGAUACAUACCCAUGUAUUAAUUAAAUAUUUAGACCUUAUGUAUUAAUUAAAUGUUUAGAUCUUAUAUAUUGAUGUUUUUGUAUAUAGUUUAGUUUGAAAGAAAGAAAAAUGAGAAAAAUAAAAGAAAAAAAGAAAUAAGUGUAAAAAAAAAUAUAGAAAAAGAAAGAAAAAGAAAAGCAAAAAAAAAAGGGACAAAAUGCCCCAAAGUAAAGUUCAAUAAGAAUCAAUGCAUAUGGGUUGUGAUAAAAAAGAGAAUGCAUGAGUAUGUAAAAAAGUGAGGAUUAUGGGUAGUUAGGGUUAGCUUUGAAAUUGUAUAGGUUGUUAUAGGUUAGGUGGGAAGUUUAGAUUAAUCAAAGAUUCGAAUUCAAGCCCACUUGACCAUAUGCAUCCUACCUUGACCCUAACCCCAUUACAACCUUAUGAAUAAGACCUCAUGAUAUUUGUAUGCAUGCAUGAAAUAAUUGUCGAUUGUUAGAUAAAAAACAAAUCUUGGAAAGCAUGAUUAGGGGAGAAUUGAGUGAAUCAACUCCAUACACUUGAGUGACUAGAGCGGAUACACAUCCAGUGAAGAUUCGAUUGCUCAAAUACAUGUUUUCACCUAUGAUCAUCACUUUUCUUGCAAGUUUGUAAAAAUCUUUAAUAACUCAAUUCAAUUGUGGAUUUGAUUUAAUUGCUAUUACUUUAGCCCUUAUGCUUAUAUAUGUUCUCUUGGAAGUUAAUUUAUUUUGACCAAAUAGUUGCAUUCAUUUAGAUAGAUUGCAUGUAGAUAGAUUGCAUUUAAUUAGUUUGCAUUGAAUAAAUGUUGAUACCCUUUGAUUAUUUCUUGAUUCUAGCAUGACUAAGUGUGGGGAGUUUGAUAAACCCCAUUUUUAGAGUUUAUUUUGUGCUUGAUUUAGAAAAUUUUAUCAACUUUUCUCACAUUUAUUCAAUGAAAUGGCAUGGUUGAUAUAUUAUAAUAAUCAAUAUAUUUUUAUCCUCUCGUUUCUUUUUCUAGAAAAGCAAUUCAUUGGCAAAACAUAUGCUCAUGUCAAAAAUUUCUCCUGAAAAUUGUAUGAAUUUCAUCUUGUAAUGAAAAUUAAAGAAGUACUUGCUUGUUUUGUUG